rnacentral:rRNA from 1 species
CCUACGGAAGGCAGCAGUGGGGGAUAUUGCACAAUGGGGGAAACCCUGAUGCAGCGACGCCGCGUGUGGGAAGACGGUCCUCUGGACUGUAAACCACUGUCCCCAGGGACGAAGAUGACGGUACCUGGGGAGGAAGCUCCGGCUAACUACGUGCCAGCAGCCGCGGUAAUACGUAGGGAGCGAGCGUUGUCCGGAAUUACUGGGUGUAAAGGGAGCGUAGGCGGGACUGCAAGUUGGGUGUCAAAUCUACCGGCUCAACCGGUAGCCGCACUCAAAACUGCAGUUCUUGAGUGAAGUAGAGGCAGGCGGAAUUCCUAGUGUAGCGGUGAAAUGCGUAGAUAUUAGGAGGAACACCAGUGGCGAAGGCGGCCUGCUGGGCUUUUACUGACGCUGAGGCUCGAAAGUGUGGGGAGCAAACAGGAUUAGAUACCCUAGUAGUC